AUUUCUUUCCCGCACAACGUCAUUUUUGUAUAAAUAAAUCGAGUUUAAAAUCAAAAAAAAAUUUUGAAUAUUAAAUUUUGAAACAAAGUGUAAGAAGGAUCCAUGGCUGAGAUUGAUGAAGUUUUUGAAAUACUGGGCUUCGGUAGGAUGCAGAAGACCAUCUUUGUCGGCUGCCUCCUGUUGCAGACGUGGUUCACCACCGAGCAGCUGGGACUCGGCAUCGUCAUGGUGGCCGGUGCCUGCGACCUCAACAUGAAUGACUACAAGCUGGCCUGGGUGACGGCUCUGACCUUCGCCGUUCAAAUAGGGGCCUUCGUGUUUUGGGGCAUCCUAGUGGACUCAAUGGGCAGGCGGAAAAUUAUAAUUUUCACGGGAGUGACUUCCAACGCCUGUUCUAUACUCUCUGCCGGAAUGCCGGAGUUCUUGUCCUUUUCUGCGUUGCGUAUCAUUUGUUCUGCUUUUAUUGCGGCGCCUGUAAUUGCUAUGAUGACGUACAUGGGGGAGUUCACGAAACAGUCGCUUCGAGCCAGAGUCCUCAAUUACCUAAGCUACGGCUUGGGCAUCAGUUUUAUCCUAGUGCCGGGUACGGCCUAUUUUAUUUUGCCACUGAAAAUCCCUAAUGUUCAAAACUGGCGCAUCUUGCUGCUUUUGAAUCAGAUACCCGGAAUCCUAGGACUGGCCAUAAUUUCAUGUAUGCCGGAGAGUCCCAAGUUCUAUUUGUCCAGGCAUCGACAGGAGGAUGCCAUGGACGUCAUGGAGAGGUGCUGCCGGAUGAACAAGGGAAAGGACACGGACCUGCAAAGCCUGGGGGUGCAGGAGAUCACCCAGCCUCGGCUGCGGGCCCUGUCGACCAGGAAGGCGUCAGCACAAUUCUGUCAUAUCGUGUUUCGCAUGUUUAAGGAGCACACUCGCAUCCUGGUCAUCUCAAUGCUCUGCACAUCGGUCAUGGGCGGCAUAGGUUUUGGACUGCAAGUCUGGAUGGUGCGAAUCAGGUUCAGUAUGAAAACCGAUAACUUUAAUAACCAGACGGUCUGCGUUCACGCUGCGGAAAGCAUGCAUGCUGACAAGCAGCAGUGCCAACUAGACAGAAAUCACCUGGAGGAUCCCUUAAUCCAUGGCUUCCUUAUACUUGGAAUUUUUAUUUUAACGACCUUUCUGCUCCUUUGUAUGGGGCGUCGGCUGAUUAUGCUCACCUACUUGGCCUUCUCGAUGCUGUGCAACUUUUCGUUGAACUUCUUGAAGGAGGAUUUGGUAAUAAUGUUCGCUCUCUUCCUGAUGGUGGAUCCGCACUUGGGCAGCAUGCGAUUGCUGCAGUCCCUGGUCAUUGACAUAAUACCCACACACUACAGGGGUAAGUCGGCUGCAAUGGGGCAGGUUGGUGGGCGUCUUGGCAUUCUAUUUUCCAGCUUGUUUAUGGGAUACACUUUGACUUGGAACUGUUAUGUAGCCUUCAAUACAUUCUUAGUCAUAUCCUUAGUUGCUGCUAUACUUGUGAGCUUGUUGCCUUCAGAAUCUAAAGUGAAGGAAAUGAUGCGUUAACUUCUUCCCAGAUUCUUAAAGAUCUAAAAUAUGUAUAUCGUUAUCCCUUCCAAUUGAUAUUAAUAUUAAUAAAAGCCCAGCUUCAUUAAAACUUUUGGCCAAAAUGAAAGGGGCGGGGGAGCCGAAGCCCAGGCGGCAAAAGGACAUGACAAGGACACCGAGCAAGCUAGGCCGUGGUGAGCUAUCAGCCCUGCCAAUCAGUCAAUCAAUCAUUCAAUCAAUUGGGCGCGCACAACGCAGCACAGUGGAGCGCAGAAUGGAGUCGGCCCGGCUCGUUCCCGGAGGCGGAAGAACGAAAGGAUUAUGGCGAAAGUUGGAAUAUUUUUGUGCACCAGGCAAAAAUAAAAUAAACGUCAAUAAACUUGGA